CGUUUCCAUUUGAGCCCUAAUUCCAAUAUGUUUUCAACCCUUGUUUCAUUUAAGUCUCAUUUAAUUUUUGAACUAUCGUUCAAAUCCAUUUACGGGUAAGUGAAAUAUCGUUAGAAUCCAUUUCUUGAAUGUUCCCAUUUCAUUCUAACUCCCUGGUUCCAUUUUGUUUCAAGCAUCGAAGGAACUGCGAACGAGAAGGCACGAUGGAUAUUCCUCAGGCGUCAUCGAAAAGCAAGGAUGAAGUGAAAUAUCGUUGGAGGAAGUCUACCUUCAACAACAGUUACUCACAUAUUAACUUCCCUAUAAAUGGGCCACAAUGGUGGCCUUUGGAUGGCCAGGUACCGAUCAAUCCACCAAUGCUGACAAGGUCCAUUGGUCGACCUAAGAAGAUGAGAAACAAGGUGAAUGAUGAUUCAAGAAAUCCCCAUGUACUUCCUAGGAAGCUUACAAUUGUUAUAUAUAAUAAGUAUAGUACCAUGUGACACAACAAAAGGAGUUGCACAUGCAAGAUGACUGUUGAGAGAUCCAUUCCAAAAGUUGGUAAUAAGAAUAAGGGAAACACAUCAAAGGGUGGAAAGAAGCAUAAAUUAGACUCAUGUGAAUCAAAGGGUGGAAAGAAGCGGAAGACAAAGGCAUCUGUAACAUAAAUUGGAAGCUCAUCAGAGACACCACAACCAUCUCAAGACUAGUUUUACUUAGGGUCAUUUUGCUUUCAUUUUGAUGUUUAUGUCAUUUUGUUGUAAUAGAACUAGUACUCAAUUUAUUUUCAUUUUAUUGUUUAGAGGCCUGUAAUGGAACAAGUACCUCAUUGUUCUUUAUGUCAUUUUGUUGUAAUGAAAAAGUACCUCAUUUUGUUAUAAUGUGAAAGUACCUCGUUAAAUUGA